GACAGAGGUGCCAAGCGUUAGGCGGAAUCACUGGGCUUAAAGCGUGUGUAGGCGGACUGGUAAGUACCUUGUGAAAUCCCCCGGCUCAACCGGGGAACGGCUGGGUAUACUGGCGAUCUUGAGCCACCUAGGGGCAGUCGGAACAAGUGGUGGAGCGGUUAAAUGCGUAGAUAUCACUUGGAACGCCAAUGGUGAAAACAGACUGCUGGGGGUGUGCUGACGCUGAGACACGAAAGCCAGGGGAGCAAACGGG
rnacentral:rRNA from 1 species